UGUUCUGGAAAUCUGAUGGUUCUAGGAUACUCUCAGAGGUGGGAGCUCCCUGGUGAUUCAGCUCUUGGGUGUCUGGGAGUCAUUCAAGUAGCCUUCAUUCAAUGACUGAUGAACACGUGGUUAUAAAAGCCUGGCCACUUCACCCCAAUUCAGGACAGCUGUGUUGGCCCCCAAAAUACUUCCUAAUAAAUCUCCUGCAUGAAAUCACCAUCUCAAAGUGUACCUUCUGGAGAAUACAGUGUUCGGAAAGCAGUAACUCAUGGCUAAAUACAGCAAUAUGCUCUGGAGUUCACUUGGAUACUUCCCUAGGCAAAAGGCAAGUCCAAUUAUGGAUAAACAUGGCUAGACUACGAGCUCAACAUCAAGAAAAGCCAUUUCACCUAUGUAACCAACUAACCUAGAUGACCAAGCCUAAUUAUAGAGUUUUCAUUCAAAACCACUUUGUGCUUGGUAGACACUGAAUUGAAGCAAGGCAGCAAGUGGGUCUCACAGCCAAUCCCUCAAAGACAGUAUCAAAAGCAGGAACUUCUUAAAACACUAGAAACUGAACUAGUACUUUACAACCUGUCAGCAAACUAAAGACGGGGAAGACCACACAAAGAUUAUUCACCUUAAUCAAAAACAUGGGACCAGCUCAGCAGCUCAUCACCACAGAAAAUAGAUGAAUGGAAAGAAAAUGGCUGCUCUAGACACGAGGCAAUUUCUGGAAAUCAGGAUGGUGACAUUGGAGAAGAAACUGAAGAUUCUUGGAGAAAUAUUAACUUCAUCUCAGUAAAAUGUAUAAGUGAUAUGCUCCCCUGCUGCUCAAGGGCACUGUGCUUCUGGUUGAAGAGGCGUUUACAUGUCACUCCCUCAAGAAAAAGAGUCAGAACCAAGGACUGCUCUUCCGGGGUUACUGCUACAUUCCUACCUUUGGCCAUUUCAUGGCGAUAAAAUUUAAAGUAUUAUUUAUGUUUAGUUAUAAGGCUUGCCAUGUUUCUCCUGUGGCUUUGACUACUCCUGGCACAUUGUACCUGCAACUUCCCUGCCUGGCCCACACCCUGAGGCACAAAGACUCCAGUUUGAAAAGUUAAUGAUAUUACAAAAUCAUCUUCAUGUGGAGACAUAUUAAAAGAGUAUGCAGCCAAAAGUAUAUAGUAAAAAGUGUAUUAUAUCA
rnacentral:lncRNA from 1 species